AUGGUGCUCCACUCCCUCCUUCAGCCACCGCGGUCUCGCUGGUAUACCUCCGUCUUAGUCGGGUUCAUCUCAUCUUUCUCCGCUCAUCCUUUUGUCGCUUCAGCGAUUUUGUCAGCUUCGUCUCUGACGAAGUACAGUCUCAACUCUCUCAUUGCCUCAACGAUUCCGUCCCAAUCUUCUGUUCUCAUCUUUGACCGUAAUGGCAUGGCUUUGUUCGCAGCAACUCUGUCCAAUUUUCUUCGCUCAUAA